rnacentral:rRNA from 1 species
AAUCUUUCGCAAUGGGCGAAAGCCUGACGCAGCCAUGCCGCGUGAAUGAUGAAGGUCCUAGGAUUGUAAAAUUCUUUCACCGGGGACGAUAAUGACGGUACCCGGAUAAGAACCCCCGGCUAACUCCGUGCCAGCAGCCGCGGCACUACGAAGGGCGCUAGCGUCGCUCGGAAUUACUGGGCGUAAAGGGCGCGUAGGCGGAUCGUUAAGUCAGGGGUGAAAUCCCGGGGCUCAACCUCGGAACUGCCCUUGAUACUGGCGAUCUUGAGUAUGAGAGAGGUAUGUGGAACUCCGAGUGUAGGGGUGAAAUUCGUAGAUAUUCGGAAGAACACCAGUGGCGAAGGCGACAUACUGGCUCAUUACUGACGCUGAGGCGCGAAAGCGUGGGGAGCAAAC